rnacentral:rRNA from 1 species
UACGGGGGGGGCAAGCGUUGUUCGGAAUUACUGGGCGUAAAGGGCUCGUAGGCGGCCAACUAAGUCAGACGUGAAAUCCCUCGGCUUAACCGGGGAACUGCGUCUGAUACUGGAUGGCUUGAAUCCGGGAGAGGGAUGCGGAAUUCCUGGUGUAGCGGUGAAAUGCGCAGAUAUCAGGAGGAACACCAAUUGCGAAGGCAGCUCGCUGGGACGUUACUGACGCUGAGACGCGAAAGCGUGGGGAGCAAACAGG